UACGUAGGUCCCGAGCGUUGUCCGGAAUUACUGGGUGUAAAGGGUGCGCAGGCGGUCUUGUGCGUCAGAAGUGAAAUAUCACGGCUUAACCGUGAGGGUGCUUUUGAAACGGCGAGACUUGAGUACGGGAGAGGAUGAUGGAAUUCCUGGUGUAGCAGUGAAAUGCGUAGAUAUUACAAGGAACACCAAUGGCGAAGGCAGCUUGCUGGGCUACUCCUGACACUGAGGUACGAAAGCGUGGGGAGCGAACAGG
rnacentral:rRNA from 1 species